AACCUGGUUGAUCCUGCCAGUAGUCAUAUGCUUGUCCUAAAGAUUAAGCCAUGCAUGUGUACGUUCAAGCCCUUGUACGGUGAAACUGCGGAUGGCUCAUUAUAUCAGUGAUAAUUUGGUUGGUGGAGAAUGCUGUGGAUAACCGUGGUAAUUCUAGAGCUAAUACAUGUGGAGCAGACGCAAGUCUGGCAUUUAUUAGAUAAAGCCUUGGCAAGGGGACAACUCGUUCCCUGCGCAGGUGAGUAAUGAUAACUGGGCGGAUCGCAGAAUACUGCGACGCACCAAGGAAAUUUCUGCCCUAUCAACUGUGGAUGGUAGGAUAGGGGCCUACCAUGGUGGCGACGGGUGACGGGGAAUCAGGGUUCGAUUCCGGAGAGGGAGCCUGAGAGAUGGCUACCACUUCCAAGGAAGGCAGCAGGCGCGCAAAUUACCCAAUCCCGAGGCGGGGAGGUAGUGACAGGACAUGACGGGGCGGGGCGCACAGCGCCCUGCGACUGGGUUGAGGAAAAGAUAAAGCGAAUGACGAGAAACGAUUGGAGGGCAAGUCUGGUGCCAGCAGCCGCGGUAAUUCCAGCUCCAAUGGUGUAUCUUAGAGGCGGGAGCGGUUGAAACGUUCUGGAGGAGAGUGGCGGCACCAAUGGGAAGAGGGGAAAGAAUCAGAUGAGGUUGUGGAAAAAGUAGCGGCACCAAUGGGAAGAGGGGAAAGCGUGGACAUGAUGUGGUGGGAGAAAAUGGCAUGAUGUGUGGGAUAAAUCAGAUCAGAGCGGGUGGGUUCGCAUGGUCGCAAGGCAGAAACUUGA
rnacentral:rRNA from 1 species